AACAUUGUAAAUGAAUAUGGGAUCCAUCGAUUCACCAAAGCCGACCACCCCAUUUCUGCAAUUUCCUUUCUCCGCGCCGAUCACGAGAUAUCCAUUUCACCCCCACCGGCGAUUCGCCCUACCAGCCACAGCCGCGAUCUGCCACCUUCCACCGCGAUUCGCCGCUCCCCUUUCCCCUCCACCGCUUUCUGCCCCGUCACCAAGUCGCCGUCAGAGAUCUGCGCAUUCCACCUCCAUUUCCCUCACCGGCCCCAGCCUCAAAUUAUAAACACCAUGGACUCGCCGCCGUCAAAUUGCUGAUCCAAGCAUAGUCUACGCCUUAAUGACUAUUGCUUCGCGAUUCAACCAUGGCUUCUCGCCGCGUCGGGUUGAAAGCUCAAAAUUGCACUUCUCCCACCACGAUUCGCCCCGCCAGCCUCCGCCGUUAUCUGCCACCUCCCUUUCUCCCUCCCCCACCGCGAUUCGCAGCGUCGGCCCUGCAUCGAUCUACCCAAGGUAAGUUUUUCUCCUCCAUGGUAAGUUUUCUAUUAGGAAAGAUUACAAUAGUAAAUAUAGAAUGAUUUCUCUACUUUAGAAAGAAGUUUUUUUUGGAAAGAUUAAAAAGUAUAUACAAGGUAAAUGUUUAACAAUAGAAAUUUUAAAACCUAGAUUUUUAGUUAUAAAUUUAUUAGUUCACUAACAAUUCUGCUGCAUCCACUCAAUCGCCCGCCUCCACCAUUUUCCUUGACAGACUCGGUCGGCUGUCAAUUCUGCACCCCGUAUCUGAUCUAAGAGUUUUCCGGAACAAGCGUUUGAUUGAGGCAUUGCUCUUCAUUUCGUGCCUAUGGAUUAUGGAAGUCAGAUAUAUUGAUUUUUAAGUUGAUUCGGUUUAAUUUUAAUGCGUAUCUAUGCAUUUCAUUUCGUGCCUAUGGAUUAUAGAAGUCAGAUAUAUUGAUUUUUAAGUUGAUUCGGUUUAAUUUUGAUGCGUAUCUAUGCAUUUAGAAUCCUGCUUCGGUUUGUGUUUAUUUCUGUUUUGGUGGUAUUGUUGUAUUGGUUGAUGUCCAUUUACUAUCCUGCUUCGGGUUGUUUCUCUUUUGAAUUUAUGAAUUUUCUGUUUCCGCUAAUUUGUGAUCAUGUUUGAAAAAAUGGUUGCUUUACCUGUAACGUGUGUUUUUGUGUUUCUUGAUUAUCAAAAUAUGCCUUUUUUUGCUGCUUGAAUUGUUGCCGUAUAGUGUAGCCGUGACUUAGGCCUUUUGACUGAUUGUUCAGCUCUCUCAGCCAUGGUUUCUGUUACCUACAUUAUCUCGAUAAUGACCUCUUCUUCCUCUUCGUAGAAGAAGAGGUGAACAUAUAUAUAUAUAUAUAUAUACAUAUAUACUGGUAAAUAAUAUUGAAUCAAUGAUUGCAACGCAUACAUAAUAUACAACAUUAUAUUAAAUAAUAUUGCACACGGGUUCAUUACUCAUGCAUUCUUUUGAACAGAUACUUACGAGAUGCCAAGGAACUCCUUUUUUAAUGUCAUUAACGGUUUUACUGAUUUGCAAUGAUUGAGUAUAUGAUACUGAUAGAAGUGAGGUAGAAAGCAUGAGGGCAACCGAGAUGGAGGCUGCCGCCAUUAUGUUUUACUAUUAAUCUCUUCCUCUAAUUUAGUUUUGAAACUUGAAAGCCGUUAUGACAGGAUGAGUUGGGUAUCAUUUAUAUCCAGUCUUGCUAAUGCCUAGCUCAAAGCAUAUUAAAUAUCUCACUGUGAUGUUUUUCUGAAUGCUCCUGCAUCAUCUGGGUGUUAAUCUUUUAUUUUGUAUUACUUUCUACCUCCAGUUGGGCUGUGUUAGUAUAUUGUGGAAAUUAGAAGCAUCAAAAUUUGACGGAGUACUUGGGAGAAGGAUGCAU
rnacentral:lncRNA from 1 species